GGUGACUGACGGGUGAUUGACGGUUGCGUAACGGGUGGAAACGAGUGAUGACGGGUGAUGAUGGUUGGUGUUGGGUGAGAGUGGGUGAGAUGGAGUGAGAUGGAAGAGUUGGUAAGAUAGUGGGAUAGUGAG